rnacentral:rRNA from 1 species
ACGCACGCUGGCGGCGUGCUUAACCCAUGCAAGUCGAACGGAAAGGCCCCUUUGGGGGUACUCGAGUGGCGAACGGGUGAGUAACACGUGAGUAACCUGCCCUUGACUUCGGGAUAACUUCAGGAAACUGGGGCUAAUACCGGAUAGGAAUCCUUGCUGCAUGGGGGGGGUUGGAAAGCUUCGGCGGUUUUGGAUGGACUCGCGGCUUAUCAGCUUGUUGGUGGGGUAGUGGCUUACCAAGGCUUUGACGGGUAGCCGGCCUGAGAGGGCGACCGGCCACAUUGGGACUGAGAUACGGCCCAGACUCCUACGGGAGGCAGCAGUGGGGAAUAUUGCACAAUGGGCGGAAGCCUGAUGCAGCAACGCCGCGUGCGGGAUGACGGCCUUCGGGUUGUAAACCGCUUUCAGCAGGGGCGAAGCUUGUGGUGACGGUACCUGCAGAAGAAGCACCGGCUAACUACGUG